UGGUACGCCGGGUCAGCCGGCGCGGGGAGACCGGAGGGGGCAGGGGUUGUUCGGAAUGACGGGGCGUAAAGGGGGGGGAGGCGGCCUGCUAAGUCGAACGUGAAAUCCCCGAGCUCAACUCGGGAACUGCGUCCGAUACUGGCAGGCUUGAAUCCGGGAGAGGGAUGCGGAAUUCCAGGUGUAGCGGUGAAAUGCGUAGAUAUCUGGAGGAACACCGGUGGCGAAGGCGGCAUCCUGGACCGGCAUUGACGCUGAGGCGCGAAAGCCAGGGGAGCAAACGGGAUUAGAUACCCCGGUAGUC
rnacentral:rRNA from 1 species